rnacentral:rRNA from 1 species
UACGUAGGGGGCAAGCGUUGUCCGGAAUCAUUGGGCGUAAAGAGCGUGUAGGCGGCUCGAUAAGUCUGCUGUGAAAGUCGGGGGCUCAACCCUCGGAUGCCGGUGGAUACUGUCGGGCUAGAGUGCGGAAGAGGCGAGUGGAAUUCCUGGUGUAGCGGUGAAAUGCGCAGAUAUCAGGAGGAACACCAAUUGCGAAGGCAGCUCGCUGGGACGUGACUGACGCUGAGACGCGAAAGCGUGGGGAGCAAACAGG